rfam:Rhodococcus rhodnii LMG 5362 LMG_5362_contig010, whole genome shotgun sequence.
AGUGGUUGGGGUGGGUAGGGGAGCGUCGUGCAGCCUGGGAAGCAGCAGUGUGAACUAGUUGUGGAGGCUGUGCGAGUGAGAAUGCAGGCAUGAGUAGCGAAAGAAGAGUGAGAAACUCUUCCGCCGAAUGACCAAGGGUUCCUGGGCCAGGUUAAUCCGCCCAGGGUGAGUCGGGACCUAAGGCGAGGCCGACAGGCGUAGUCGAUGGACAACGGGUUGAUAUUCCCGUACCCGUGUGAACGCGCCCAUGGUGAAUCAGUGAUGCUAACCGUCCUGAAGCGGUGACGGAACCUUCGGGUUUUGUUUCCGUGGAUGCACGGGAUCCGAUCUGGUAGUAGCCAAGCGAUGGGGUGACGCAGGAAGGUAGCUGGGCCAGUGAGUGGUUGUACUGGUGUAAGCCUGUAGGGCGAGUGGUAGGCAAAUCCGCCACUCAUGGAGCCUGAGAGGUGAUGCGUAGCCGAUCGAGGCGAAUUCAGUGAUCCUAUGCUGUCGAGAAAAGCCUCUAGUGAGUUUUCACACGGCCCGUACCCCAAACCGACACAGGUGGUCAGGUAGAGAAUACCAAGGCGAUCGAGAGAACUAUGGUUAAGGAACUCGGCAAAAUGCCCCCGUAACUUCGGGAGAAGGGGGGCCACGGCUGGUGACGGGCUUUACGCCUCGAGCUGGUGGUGGCCGCAGAGACCAGUGAGAAGCGACUGUUUACUAAAAACACAGGUCCGUGCGAAGUCGUAAGACGAUGUAUACGGACUGACGCCUGCCCGGUGCUGGAAGGUUAAGAGGACCGGUUAGCCAACUUGUUGGCGAAGCUGAGAAUUUAAGCCCCAGUAAACGGCGGUGGUAACUAUAACCAUCCUAAGGUAGCGAAAUUCCUUGUCGGGUAAGUUCCGACCUGCACGAAUGGCGUAACGACUUCUCAGCUGUCUCAACCAUAGACUCGGCGAAAUUGCAUUACGAGUAAAGAUGCUCGUUACGCGCGGCAGGACGAAAAGACCCCGGGACCUUCACUACAGCUUGGUAUUGGUGUUCGGUUCGACUUGUGUAGGAUAGGUGGGAGACUGUGAAGCGGGCACGCCAGUGUUCGUGGAGUCGUUGUUGAAAUACCACUCUGGUCGUAUUGGAUGUCUAACCUCGGGCCAUGAUCUGGUUCAGGGACAGUGCCUGGUGGGUAGUUUAACUGGGGCGGUUGCCUCCCAAAAUGUAACGGAGGCGUCCAAAGGUUCCCUCAGCCUGGUUGGCAAUCAGGUGUCGAGUGCAAGUGCACAAGGGAGCUUGACUGUGAGACUGACGGGUCGAGCAGGGACGAAAGUCGGGACUAGUGAUCCGGCACCGGCAUGUGGAAGCGGUGUCGCUCAACGGAUAAAAGGUACCCCGGGGAUAACAGGCUGAUCUUCCCCAAGAGUCCAUAUCGACGGGAUGGUUUGGCACCUCGAUGUCGGCUCGUCGCAUCCUGGGGCUGGAGUAGGUCCCAAGGGUUGGGCUGUUCGCCCAUUAAAGCGGCACGCGAGCUGGGUUUAGAACGUCGUGAGACAGUUCGGUCUCUAUCCGCCGCGCGCGUCAGAAACUUGAGGAAGGCUGUCCCUAGUACGAGAGGACCGGGACGGACGAACCUCUGGUGUGCCAGUUGUUCCGCCAGGAGCAUUGCUGGUUGGCUACGUUCGGAAGGGAUAACCGCUGAAAGCAUCUAAGCGGGAAGCCUGUUCCAAGAUGAGGUUUCUCACCCCCUCGAGGGGGUAAGGCCCCCGGCAGACCACCGGGUUGAUAGGCCAGAACUGGAAGCGCAGUAAUGUGUGGAGGUGACUGGUACUAAUAGGCCGAGGACUUACCAAC